GACGAACGCUGGCGGCGUGCUUAACACAUGCAAGUCGAACGGAAAGGCCCUGCUUUUGUGGGGUGCUCGAGUGGCGAACGGGUGAGUAACACGUGAGUAACCUGCCCUUGACUUUGGGAUAACUUCAGGAAACUGGGGCUAAUACCGGGUAGGAGCUCCUGCUGCAUGGUGGGGGUUGGAAAGUUUCGGCGGUUGGGGAUGGACUCGCGGCUUAUCAGCUUGUUGGUGGGGUAGUGGUUUACCAAGGCUUUGACGGGUAGCCGGCCUGAGAGGGUGACCGGCCACAUUGGGACUGAGAUACGGCCCAGACUCCUACGGGAGGCAGCAGUGGGGAAUAUUGCACAAUGGGCGGAAGCCUGAUGCAGCAACGCCGCGUGCGGGAUGACGGCCUUCGGGUUGUAAACCGCUUUCGCCUGUGACGAAGCGUGAGUGACGGUAAUGGGUAAAGAAGCACCGGCUAACUACGUG
rnacentral:rRNA from 1 species